CGGCCACUAUCACGCUCAAGUGAUUAAGCUUUACGGCACCGAGGAUGAUGCAAGGAAUGCAACAGAAAGACGACCAUCCAUUCCGCAGACCCGAUUGCGACUCCUCCGAUAGCUGCAGUUCAAAUGAAGUGGACAAUGAGUCGUUU